rnacentral:rRNA from 1 species
UACGGAGGGUGCGAGCGUUGUCCGGAAUCAUUGGGCGUAAAGAGCUCGUAGGCGGCUUGUCGCGUCGGCUGUGAAAACCCGUGGCUCAACCAUGUGGUCUGCAGUCGAUACGGGCAGGCUAGAAUUCGGUAGGGGAGACUGGAAUUCCUGGUGUAGCGGUGAAAUGCGCAGAUAUCAGGAGGAACGCCGGUGGCGAAGGCGGGUCUCUGGGCCGAUAUUGACGCUGAGGAGCGAAAGCGUGGGGAGCGAACAGG